AUUGAACGCUGGCGGCAGGCCUAACACAUGCAAGUCGAGCGAGCGGCGGACGGGUGAGUAAUGUCUGGGAAACUGCCUGAUGGAGGGGGAUAACUACUGGAAACGGUAGCUAAUACCGCAUACCAUCAGAUGUGCCCAGAUGGGAUUAGCUAGUAGGUGGGGUAACGGCUCGUCUAGGCCACGAUCCCUGGCUGGUCUGAGAGGAUGACCAGCUCCUCUGGAACUGAGACCCGGUCAGUAUUCCUACGGGAGGCGGCAUUGUGGCAUAUUGCACGAGGGGCGCAAGCCGGAUGCAGCCAUGCGGCGUGUGUGAAGAGGGCCUUCGGGUUGUAGAGCACUUUCAUCGGGGAGGCGUUACCCGCAGAAGAAGCACCGGCUAACUCCGUGCCAGCAGCCGAGGUAAUUC
rnacentral:rRNA from 1 species